rnacentral:rRNA from 1 species
CGUUAGAUCACCGAAGUCAAGCAUCAUUGGGCGCGGUCAGUACUUGGGUGGGUGACCACUUGGGAACACCGCGUGCCGUU